rnacentral:rRNA from 1 species
CCAGUGCCUGCUCGUUGCCGCAUAAUUUUGUUCGUCGGAGCAGCAAUGACCUGCUCCUCCGCUCUAUGAUGGCGAGGUUGGGGAAGUUCUUUGACUUUCUUCGAUUAGGUGCAUGGCCGCCGUCAGCUCGUACCGUGAGGCGUCCUGUUAAGUCAGACAACGAGCGAGACCCACGCCCUUAUUUACCAGCUUAUCCUUUUGUGGGGUGGGGGGGCACAUUUGGGGGGACUGCCUUUUUAAUUAAUAGGAAGGAGAGGUGAACCGACGGUUGGUCCUUUUCCCCCAUUUAUCCGGUGGGGCAACAGGGGGGCAAAAAAGGGGUAAAAAAAAUGUCUCCCCCCCAAAAGAGGGGGGGAAUCCUCCUCCCACCUUUGGGAGGGUGGGAAUGGGGUAAAAACCCCCCAAAACCUUGGGGGGGGGGUAUAUCCCCCCCCUCCCCCCAAAAAAAAAAAAAA